rnacentral:rRNA from 1 species
AUGGAGGCAUACGUGGAGACGCUCUUGUUCUCCGACGAGCUCGACGCGGAGUGCUCCCCGACUUGGUUCUGCGUUCUCUGUAGGAGGUCGUUUUGCCCGAGCUGCUGCACGGAUCACGGAGAGUUCCACGCUGAUCCUGAGGUGCACGCGCACGCAGAUGCAGAGGCGCUGCUGCUUGAGACGUUCGUUGUAGGAGGGUCACCCGCGCUCUCGUAUCGUGAUGUGCGAGAGCAUAGUCUGGGUUACAACUGGCGUGGCAUCCAGAGGGUGCCCGUCGACGGCGAGAGGGACAAGUUCGUUGUCCUCAGGAGGCAGCCUAACUUCAACCGAAGAUUCAAGGCCCAGUGUCGCGUCUGCGCUGACAAGAUAGUGACGGGGAAGGAUAAUGAGUACUGCAGUUCCUUUUGCAAGCUUGAUUCGGUUCACCAUGGCGGCGGCAGAGCUGUAGUUCGCGCGAUGGUCGACGCAGAAUACCAGACGCUAGCGCAGAGAGACAGGCUGUGCACCAUCUGUGCACUCGCGUAUUCGUCCGACCAUUGUCCCGACCACCGUCUCCAUCACGGUGGCGGCGACAAUGGCAUUCUUCAUCUCACUCACCUCGACGGGCGUAUCCUCGUCCCCGAGGAUCAGCUACCGGGGUUUCUGACCCAGGGAGGAGUCAUGGGGGAGCUCUUCGUGCCCGUCCGACCCCGGCAAGUACUCCUUCCGGGCCCUGCACCACCACAGGAGUGUGCCCGGCAGGGCUGCUUCCAGCCCGUGGAUGCCCAGGGCCAGUCCUGCAGCCUGGUGUAUCGUCAGGUGAGUUCAAGAAGAAGGUGUUCCUUUAGUACUACAUUGUCUCUGUUUGCUGAGAUUGGUAGGUUACAGCAGAGCGAGAGGAGAGGAGGGGAGUGGAGAGGGGAGGAGGGCGGCGGCCGGAUAGGCCGCCGAGUGACGGCUCCGCAGUGGUGGGCUCGGCGUGCGGCUCUACUCUGCGACGGCCGUGGAGGGCUGCUCUGGGCUCCGCGGCGGCGUCGCGGCGGUGGGCUCGGCGUGCGGCUCUGCUCUGCGACGGCCGUGGAGGGCGCUGGCUGCUCUGGGCCUCGCGGGAGGUGGAGCGGCGGCCCUGGGGGUGAGGUCGCCGGUGGGCCUCGUGGUGGCUUGCGUGGGGGGCUCGGAUCCAGAGCCUGGGUGGAUCUGGCCCUCCCUUCAGGCGUGGUGCUUCGCCGCGGGGAGACUCCUAUGGAAGCUGAUAGUAACCACCAGAGAUGCUGGCUCAAGUGCGUCAACAGCUAUUCUUGUCACUGGUCGCUUGGUGGUCGCAAAUGUUGUGGGAAGUUCAUAUUGUUGUGGUUUUCUCCCUGGAUACACAUGAUCAUGAUGUUUGCUGCAUCCCACCCUUUCAGCGAUUGCCGUUUUGAGGGAUCACAAACCUUACCAGACAGAGAGACAGAAUUGUGGAAGCUGGAGGAUUUUUGUGAGGUGGGCUGGGAUGUGGAAGUUGUUGCCAUGGCCAAGCCAAUAGAGGAUCCUGAGCAAGCGACGAAGGGACUAGAUGGAACAACGUCGAGCGGUGAUGUAAUGAGUGAGGAGAUGGUGGUUGAUGUCGGAGCAGACGGAUGGUGGGGCCAGUGUUGUUACCAUAUGAUCCAAGGGGUACUUUUCUUCUUCUUGCUGAACCUUGCACUUCGCAGCUUCUAUGUUGGUGCUUCAUGCUACGAUUGCCGUUUUGAGGGAUCACAAACCUUACCAGACAGAGAGACAGAGAAUUGUGGAAGCUGGAGGAUUUUUGUGAGGUGGGCUGGUACUUCUAUGUGGCCUCUGAAACUCUAUACUCCAGGAUGUGGUGUGUUGGUGGUGUUCUUGCUGUUUUCUCGAGCAUUUGGUGAUAAACUUACGAAGCAGUAUGAAGUUGUUGCCAUGGCCAAGCCAAUAGAGGAUCCUGAGCAAGCGACGAAGGGACUAGUUCAAGAAGCUUCCCAAAGAGCAAGUGCUGACACAUGA